GAUGAACGCUGGCGGCGUGCCUAAUACAUGCAAGUCGAGCGAACGGACGAGAAGCUUGCUUCUCUGAUGUUAGCGGCGGACGGGUGAGUAACACGUGGAUAACCUACCUAUAAGACUGGGAUAACUUCGGGAAACCGGAGCUAAUACCGGAUGAUAUUUUGAACCGCAUGGUUCAAAAGUGAAAGACGGUCUUGCUGUCACUUAUAGAUGGAUCCGCGCUGCAUUAGCUAGUUGGUAAGGUAACGGCUUACCAAGGCAACGAUGCAUAGCCGACCUGAGAGGGUGAUCGGCCACACUGGAACUGAGACACGGUCCAGACUCCUACGGGAGGCAGCAGUAGGGAAUCUUCCGCAAUGGGCGAAAGCCUGACGGAGCAACGCCGCGUGAGUGAUGAAGGUCUUCGGAUCGUAAAACUCUGUUAUUAGGGAAGAACAUAUGUGUAAGUAACUGUGCACAUCUUGACGGUACCUAAUCAGAAAGCCACGGCUAACUACGUGCCAGCAGCCGCGGUAAUACGUAGGUGGCAAGCGUUAUCCGGAAUUAUUGGGCGUAAAGCGCGCGUAGGCGGUUUUUUAAGUCUGAUGUGAAAGCCCACGGCUCAACCGUGGAGGGUCAUUGGAAGCUGGAAAACUUGAGUGCAGAAGAGGAAAGUGGAAUUCCAUGUGUAGCGGUGAAAUGCGCAGAGAUAUGGAGGAACACCAGUGGCGAAGGCGACUUUCUGGUCUGUAACUGACGCUGAUGUGCGAAAGCGUGGGGAUCAAACAGGAUUAGAUACCCUGGUAGUCCACGCCGUAAACGAUGAGUGCUAAGUGUUAGGGGGUUUCCGCCCCUUAGUGCUGCAGCUAACGCAUUAAGCACUCCGCCUGGGGAGUACGACCGCAAGGUUGAAACUCAAAGGAAUUGACGGGGACCCGCACAAGCGGUGGAGCAUGUGGUUUAAUUCGAAGCAACGCGAAGAACCUUACCAAAUCUUGACAUCCUUUGACAACUCUAGAGAUAGAGCCUUCCCCUUCGGGGGACAAAGUGACAGGUGGUGCAUGGUUGUCGUCAGCUCGUGUCGUGAGAUGUUGGGUUAAGUCCCGCAACGAGCGCAACCCUUAAGCUUAGUUGCCAUCAUUAAGUUGGGCACUCUAAGUUGACUGCCGGUGACAAACCGGAGGAAGGUGGGGAUGACGUCAAAUCAUCAUGCCCCUUAUGAUUUGGGCUACACACGUGCUACAAUGGACAAUACAAAGGGCAGCGAAACCGCGAGGUCAAGCAAAUCCCAUAAAGUUGUUCUCAGUUCGGAUUGUAGUCUGCAACUCGACUACAUGAAGCUGGAAUCGCUAGUAAUCGUAGAUCAGCAUGCUACGGUGAAUACGUUCCCGGGUCU
rnacentral:rRNA from 1 species